GACGAAGGUGGCGAGCGUUGUUCGGAAUCACUGGGCAUAAAGCGCACGUAGGCGGUGUCGUAAGUCGGAUGUGAAAUCCCUCGGCCUAACCGAGGAACUGCGUCCGAUACUGCGAUGCUUGAGGAUCAGAGGGGUGCAUGGAAUUUCUGGUGGAGCGGUGAAAUGCGUUGAUAUCGGAAGGAACUCCGGCGGCGAAAGCGAUGCACUGGCUGAUUUCUGACGCUGAGGUGCGAAAGCCAGGGGAGCAAACGGG
rnacentral:rRNA from 1 species